rnacentral:rRNA from 1 species
UACGUAGGCAGCAAGCGUUGUUCGGAAUUACUGGGCGUAAAGAGUGUGUAGGCGGUGUUCUAAGUCUGUUGUGAAAUCUCCCGGCUUAACUGGGAGGGUGCGGCGGAAACUGGAAUGCUAGAGGAUGGGAGAGGUAAGCGGAAUUCCUGGUGUAGCGGUGAAAUGCGUAGAUAUCAGGAGGAACACCUGUGGAGUAGACAGCUUACUGGACCAUUUCUGACGCUGAGACACGAAAGCGUGGGUAGCAAACAGG